rnacentral:misc_RNA from 1 species
UACGGAGGGUGCAAGCGUUGUCCGGAUUUAUUGGGUUUAAAGGGUGCGUAGGCGGCCCGUUAAAUCAGUGGUGUAAUCCCAGGGCUCAACCCUGGAACUGCCAUUGAUACUGAUGGGCUUGAGUUCGGUCGAGGCGGGCGGAACUGGUGGUGUAGCGGUGAAAUGCUUAGAUACCACCAAGGACCCCGAUUGCGUAGGCAGCUCGCUUGGCCGAAACUGACGCUGAGGCACGAAAGCGUGGGGAGCGAACAGG